rnacentral:rRNA from 1 species
GAUGAACGCUAGCUAUAGGCUUAACACAUGCAAGUCGAGGGACCGGCGCACGGGUGAGUAACGCGUAUCCAACCUGCCCAUAACUAAGGGAUAACCCAGCGAAAGUUGGACUAAUACCUUAUGGUUAUGGAUGGGGAUGCUUCUGCUUAGCUUGUUGGCGGGGUAACGGCCCACCAAGGCAACGAUCAGUAGGGGUUCUGAGAGGAAGGUCCCCCACAUUGGAACGGCGACCCGGUCCAAACUCCUACGGGAGGCAGCAGUGAGGAAUAGUGUUCACUGGACGCAAGUCUGAACCAGCCAAGUAGCGUGCAGGAUGUCGGCCUAUGGGUUGUAAAUUGCUUUUAUAUGGGGAGAGGUACCAGAUGAAUAAGGACCGGCUAACUCCGUGCCAGCCGCCGCGGUAAUAC